rnacentral:rRNA from 1 species
GGGUCAGUAGGGUGGUCGUGCCACCGGUACGUACUGGUCUCACUGAUUCCUCCUUCUUGAAGAACCGUAAUGCCAUUAAUUUGGUGUUGCGGGGAAACAGGACUGUUACUUGGAAAAAAUUAGAGUGUUUAAAGCAAGCUAACGCUUGAAUACAUUAGCAUGGAAUAAUGAAAUAGGACGAUCGAUCCUAUUUUGUUGGUUUCUAGGAUUGACGUA